UACGUAGGGUGCAAGCGUUAAUCGGAAUUACUGGGCGUAAAGCGUGCGCAGGCGGUUCGUUGUGUCGGUGGUGAAAGCCCCGGGCUUAACCUGGGAAUGGCCAUGGAAACUGGCGAACUGGAGUGUGGCAGAGGGGGGUGGAAUUCCGCGUGUAGCAGUGAAAUGCGUAGAGAUGCGGAGGAACACCGAUGGCGAAGGCAGCCCCCUGGGUCAAGACUGACGCUCAUGCACGAAAGCGUGGGGAGCAAACAGG
rnacentral:rRNA from 1 species